GCAAGAAGUGCUGAAAGGUGUGAGUUAUUCAUUUUCGACGGCACCUUUGUUGAUUCGCUGAUAUCACAAUCGACGGCCAACAACUCUCUCAGGUCUGAACCCAUCUCUGUUAGCCCAGGAUACCUAGCCAUUGCCAUAACAGCUGCUUAAGGAGGAAGAAAGGAAGAUGCUAAGGUUAGCCGGGAGGAGGUUCUCAUCUCUACCUCGGAGGUCAUCGCAAGCAACCUUCACUUUCGUGCAUCGAAGCCAUCCUCUUUGUACCGAUGUUUCUGAUGCCGAUGAUUUCGCUUCUUCCAGAUCCGUCCUCGCUCCCUAUCGUUUCUCCUUCACUCGUGAUCUAAUAAGAGGUCAGCUCUUUCUCUCGUUUGUUUCUUUCAUCUCCGAAGAUUUUGGUCUCAUUUCGCCUUCUCGAGUAUUUCAAUUUGGUUUAUUUUUUUUUCCCGCUUUUUCGUUUUGAGUAUUUUGCCCUCUGAACUGAAAGUACUUUUAUUUGCAUAUUUUUCUGUUUUAUGGUUCCUUGAUCGCGGAAGAAAUGCGAAAAUUAAUGAGGUUUGACUAUAAACCUUCGUAUCUGGUUUCGUAUAGCUUUGAACGGUUGAAUGCUCGUUUUUCAAACUUAAUUUUUGGUUGAGAAUUCUUUCUAUGUCUGCUAUAAAAUUUUGGUGGCUGAUAUAGUUUGGUGACAAUUUACAAAACCUUGUAGAAUUAUCACUGUUUUAUAUUGGUGUGUUUCUAUAGUUAGAUUUAAUCACUUUUCUUUGCUAUAUGUGUUGUUCUGAAUGGAUUUUGCGUUGCUAUGUGCUUUAAUCAAUUAACUGAACCCGUCUGGAAGGUACUUUGUUUACUGCUAUGUGGUUUAUAUUGUUCCUUCUUAUUUUAUUGAGAUUUAUUUAAAAUUAUGUUGAAGAUGUGAAGAAGAAAUUUCUGUUCAUCUGAACAACUAUCCUCUGCUUCGAGAAGUCAAAUGUUUUAAUAAAUGGAAAUGUUUACUCUUUUGAACCUCCCUCUUUUGAAUUUUAAUUGUACCUUUUCUUUCAAUACCUGUGUUCUGGAAGGUAAAGGGCUUACUUCAAAAAGAAUAAAUGGAUAGUGUGCAAUUUAAUAAAGUUGUAUCAUUGUAACUCUCAUCUGAGUCAUGAUUCAUGAAUUAAAGGAGAUAUAGUAAUUGGGCUAGGAGACUUGCUUGGAGGAUAUGGGUGACCAGGUGUUAAAGUCGCUCUUUUAUCUGCAGUUUUAGAGUGGAUUUGCUAUUUUAGAUUUCAUGUGUACUUUAGUAGCAUGGUAAAUUUUUGCUAGCUUGGAAAAUGUACAUUCUGAUGCUUCUACCAUUAGUAGCAUUGCUUCUAUGGUGAACUUAGUUGCUUCAGAUAUUAACAGCAAACAAUAUGUUUGUAAGCCGGAAUUGUCCAUCUGAGGGUGUGUGCACAGUAUGGCACCAAUAUGUUUAUUAUUUCUCACUUAUGUUGUGAUUCUUCUUUUAGCUUAUUAGUUUUGAGGAUAAUGUUUAGGAUGAAGAUGAUAUUGAAGCGUAAGGAUUAAGGAACGUGUUCAUCAUCCCAUAUGAAUAUUUUGGAAGAUGUGUAUGUAUCAUAUUCUGAACAAGAUCCUUUCAGAUGAUUCAUGGGGCUAUGGAUGUGCUGCUUUUCAGUUUUUUGUUCAUCACUUGUUGAGAGCAAUGAAGAGCAAAAUUAUCAUUACAGUAUCCUUUUCUGUGUUAUAUUUUUCCUCUAACAUGUUAGGACUACUCAUCAAGCUUCUGUCUUGAACUACAAAUUAGGAAAAUGCAGACCUUGGCUCAGCGAAUAUUCCAUGCUUGUUUCUUUCUCAUAUUUUUAACUGGACAUCUUGUAAUUUCAUCUCAAGCAGUUCUGUAGAUAAAUUUGUUCCUCCUUAUAGUGUCACUAGUGAUAGACAAGCUUAAUGUCCUUAUGUAUCUUUCUCUUGAAAUUACAUGUAUUUGCAGCAUAUUGAAUUUGCAAACAUUUAUUUUUUCCAGGGUUUUCUUCUGAUGCCUUUGCACCAGGACAUGAUCUGGGUAUGAUCACAGAUCUACCAGCUACAGUAGCAGCAGUGAAGAAUCCUACUUCAAAAAUUGUUUAUGAUGAGCACAAUCAUGAGCGUUUUCCACCUGGUGACCCCAGCAAACGUGCAUUUGCCUACUUUGUCUUGACUGGUGGGAGGUUUGUAUAUGCCUCUUUAGUUCGUCUUCUUAUCCUCAAGUUUGUUCUGAGCAUGUCCGCCAGCAAAGAUGUCCUUGCCCUUGCAUCCCUUGAGGUAGACCUCUCCAGCAUUGAGCCUGGGACCACUAUUACUGUCAAGUGGCGUGGAAAGCCAGUUUUC
rnacentral:misc_RNA from 1 species